rnacentral:rRNA from 1 species
AGUGAACGCUGGCGGUAGGCCUAACACAUGCAAGUCGAACGGCAGCACAGUAAGAGCUUGCUCUUACGGGUGGCGAGUGGCGGACGGGUGAGGAAUACAUCGGAAUCUACUUUUUCGUGGGGGAUAACGUAGGGAAACUUACGCUAAUACCGCAUACGACCUACGGGUGAAAGCAGGGGAUCUUCGGACCUUGCGCGAUUGAAUGAGCCGAUGUCGGAUUAGCUAGUUGGCGGGGUAAAGGCCCACCAAGUCGAGGAUCCGUAGCUGGUCUGAGAGGAUGAUCAGCCACACUGGGACUGAGACACGGUCCAGACUCCUACGGGAGGCAGCAGUGGGGAAUAGUGGACAAUGGGCGCAAGCCUGGUCCAGCCAUACCGCGUGGGUGGAGAAGACCUUCGGGUUGUAAAGCCCUUUUGUUGGGAAAGAAAAGCAGCAGGUUAAUACCCCGCUGUUCUGACGGUACCCAAAGAAUAAGCACCGGCUAACUUCGUG